rnacentral:tRNA from 2 species
GCUUACUUGGUGAAAUUGGUAAACACGACAGACUUAAAAUCUGUUCCUUCUAGGUUAUCGGUUCAAGUCCGAUAGUAAGCACCA